UCCUAAACCUGAUUGCAGCGGCAUCCUUUUAGCUGUAAUUCUGAGCGCAGCGACGGAACAGCUAAAAGAUACAGCGUAAAGCAGGAAGAAAC
rnacentral:sRNA from 1 species